rnacentral:tRNA from 1 species
UACGGGAUCGUCUAAUGGUAGGACAUGGGACUCUGAAUCCCAUUAUCUAGGUUCGAAUCCUAGUCCCGUAG